CAGCAGCCGCGGUAAUACGAAGGGGGCUAGCGUUGCUCGGAAUGACUGGGCGUAAAGGGCGCGUAGGCGGCGGCCAAAGUCAGGCGUGAAAUUCCCGGGCUCAACCUGGGGGCUGCGUUUGAUACUGGCGAGCUAGAGUAUGGCAGAGGGGGGUAGAAUUCCACGUGUAGCAGUGAAAUGCGUAGAGAUGUGGAGGAAUACCGAUGGCGAAGGCAGCCCCCUGGGCCAAUACUGACGCUCAUGCACGAAAGCGUGGGGAGCAGACAGGAUUAGAUACCCGGGUAGCCCUGUCUCUUAUACA
rnacentral:rRNA from 1 species